GUAAAGCGAGCGCAGGCGGAAAAAUAAGUCUAAUGUGAAAGCCCUCGGCUUAACCGAGGAACUGCAUCGGAAACUGUUUUUCUUGAGUGCAGAAGAGGAGAGUGGAACUCCAUGUGUAGCGGUGGAAUGCGUAGAUAUAUGGAAGAACACCAGUGGCGAAGGCGGCUCUCUGGUCUGCAACUGACGCUGAGGCUCGAAAGCAUGGGUAGCGAACAGGAUUAGAUACCCUGGUAGUCCAUGCCGUAAACGAUGAGUGCUAAGUGUUGGGAGGUUUCCGCCUCUCAGUGCUGCAGCUAACGCAUUAAGCACUCCGCCUGGGGAGUACGACCGCAAGGUUGAAACUCAAAGGAAUUGACGGGGGCCCGCACAAGCGGUGGAGCAUGUGGUUUAAUUCGACGCAACGCGAAGAACCUUACCAGGUCUUGACAUCUAGUGCAAUCUGUAGAGAUACGGAGUUCCCUUCGGGGACGCUAAGACAGGUGGUGCAUGGCUGUCGUCAGCUCGUGUCGUGAGAUGUUGGGUUAAGUCCCGCAACGAGCGCAACCCUUGUUAUUAGUUGCCAGCAUUAAGUUGGGCACUCUAAUGAGACUGCCGGUGACAAACCGGAGGAAGGUGGGGAUGACGUCAAGUCAUCAUGCCCCUUAUGACCUGGGCUACACACGUGCUACAAUGGGCAGUACAACGAGAAGCAAGCCUGCGAAGGCAAGCGAACCUCUGAAAGCUGUUCUCAGUUCGGACUGCAGUCUGCAACUCGACUGCACGAAGCUGGAAUCGCUAGUAAUCGCGGAUCAGCACGCCGCGGUGAAUACGUUCCCGGG
rnacentral:rRNA from 1 species